rnacentral:lncRNA from 1 species
CGCCAGUCCGAUAUUUUCAAAACAAAAUUGAUGUUCUAUGAUCACUUAAAAUUUUGUGCCCUUACUUUACUAUCCAUGUAAAUUUUUUCUUUUCUUUUUUUUUGUUAAAAAUCCAUGUAAUUUUUAUAGUGCCAUAUAUACAACUAAAUUUAUUGUUUAAAAUUAUGAUGUCUUCAGUGGUCGGUUCAUUUACAUAUAUCUGAAUAUUAUGUUAAUUGUGAUUCGUGCACUACUUUAAGACCGUAUGGAGGAGUUGAAGUUAAGUGCACUGAUAUUUCUUAAGAUCGAAUAUGUGGACAGUUUUUCCCUUGCAUUAUCAUCUCCAUAUUAUUACUUUAUCCCGGUUAAAGAAAGUU